CAAGUCGUGGGGCAGCGCAGUGUAGCAAUACAUGGGCGGCGACCGGCAAACGGGUGCGGAACACGCACGCAACCUUCCUUUAAGUGGGGGAUAGCCCAGGGAAACUUGGAUUAAUACCCCGUAAUAUUACGGAGUGGCAUCACUUUUUAAUUAUAGCAGCAAUGCGCUUGAAGAUGGGCGUGCGCCUGAUUAGGUAGUUGGCGGGGUAACGGCCCACCAAGCCUUCGAUCAGUAACUGGUGUGAGAGCACGACCAGUCACACGGGCACCGAGACACGGGCCCGACUCCUACGGGAGGCAGCAGUAAGGAAUAUUGGUCAAUGGACGAAAGUCUGAACCAGCCAUGCCGCGUGGAGGAUGAAGGUCCUCUGGAUUGUAAACUUCUUUUAUUUGGGAAGAAACCCACGAUUUCUAUUGUGGUUGACGGUACCAGAUGAAUAAGCACCGGCUAACUCCGUGCCAGCAGCCGCGGUAAUACGGAGGGUGCAAGCGUUAUCCGGAUUCACUGGGUUUAAAGGGUGCGUAGGCGGGCAGGUAAGUCAGUGGUGAAAUCCCCGAGCUUAACUUGGGAACUGCCGUUGAUACUAUCUGUCUUGAAUACUAUGGAGGUAAGCGGAAUAUGUCAUGUAGCGGUGAAAUGCUUAGAUAUGACAUAGAACACCAAUUGCGAAGGCAGCUUGCUACACAGUUAUUGACGCUGAGGCACGAAAGCGUGGGGAUCAAACAGGAUUAGAUACCCUGGUAGUCCACGCCCUAAACGAUGAUUACUCGACAUCAGCGAUACACUGUUGGUGUCUGAGCGAAAGCAUUAAGUAAU
rnacentral:rRNA from 1 species